UACGUAGGGUGCAAGCGUUAAUCGGAAUUACUGGGCGUAAAGCGUGCGCAGGCGGCUAUGCAAGACAGAUGUGAAAUCCCCGGGCUCAACCUGGGAACUGCAUUUGUGACUGCAUAGCUAGAGUACGGUAGAGGGGGAUGGAAUUCCGCGUGUAGCAGUGAAAUGCGUAGAUAUGCGGAGGAACACCGAUGGCGAAGGCAAUCCCCUGGACCUGUACUGACGCUCAUGCACGAAAGCGUGGGGGAGCAAACAGG
rnacentral:rRNA from 1 species